GUCUGAAGACCUGUAAAGACCCAGCUGAGGACAGGUGUCUCAUGAUCAGAGGGACGUCUGAAGACCUGUAAAGACCCAGCUGAGGACAGGUGUUAAAGCAUCAUUAGUUUUAGGUGACUGGUUAAAACUCAGGGUUUUUUUUUUUUUUUGGUAAAUUAGAAAAAUGACAUUUUCUGUGACAAAAUGUGAAAGAUGAAGUGAUGAAAGCAGCUGAAACCUGCAGAGGCUGAAACAGAAAUGUCUCCUAAUCCUAAUAAACCUAAAAACCUGUUGGACUGACCCAGGUUCUGACCUAGGUUCUGACCCGGGUUGUGGCUGUGACCCAGAGGGACCAUGUAGAACAAUCUAAUGGCUGGAUGUUAAUCAGAGUCUGGAAGGACACAAACAGAUGGUUUUUUUAUAAAAACAACUUUAUUUACAGGAGCAGACCACCGGGCCGGCCCACAAACCCAGACUCCAGUGCUCCCAGUGGAAUGCUGUCUGUGGCUGAGGUUGGGAACUUUCUGAAUUCUUCCAGCUGUUUGUUUAGUCUGAGUGUGCAGCUGUUUAAUGACAGGCUGCUGUGAGCUCACACAGGUGGAGGUGACCUGACAGUCCAAUUAAUACCAAAUAAUCACAACAAACAGUCUAAUUAACAUGAAACAACCUGCUGCUCCAUCAACUCCACUUCCUGUCACACCACACCUGAACCAGAGUCCAGGUGAGCAGAACCGGGACGCUCAGAGACAAACAGGAGCUGGUGGUGCGUUCAGGGAGCGUGGGAGUUCUGGUCACAGCUGGAGCUGCUGACUAA